UUAAUAUUAGGUCUUCGGAUAAAGCGUUAUAAAUUGCGUUGCGGUAAUCAACGGUUCAGGCAAGUUUGUUCUUACUUAACUCUAAUAAGAGUGUUUUAUUCAAGCUUAUGGUUAAUCAUUGCUGAUUGCCAUGAAAAUUGUACUCUGUACAUCUUGCAUGUAUAAGUCAGGUAUGAAAGGCUGAUCACCUUCAUUACCGGUUUGUCCAGAAAUGUUUGUUCAUGUUUAAAACUUGUUCAGUCAAAAGUUUGUUCGUGCUAGUUCUCAAUUAUAUUGAUGAAUUAUAGCCAGUUUAUUAUUCAUACUCUUCAAUCAUGAUAUAUCCUUAAAUUGUUGUAUUUAAACUUG
rnacentral:lncRNA from 1 species